CUUUCGGCAGGAACGAAACGGACGAGCUCUAACAUAGCUUGCUAAUGACGGUACCUGAAGAAGAAGCACCGGCUAACUACGUGCCAGCAGCCGCGGUAAUACGUAGGGGUGCGAGCGUUAAUCGGAAUUACUGGGCGUAAAGCGUGCGCAGGCGGUUGUGUAAGACAGGUGUGAAAUCCCCGGGCUUAACCUGGGAACUGCGCUUGUGACUGCACGGCUAGAGUAUGGCAGAGGGGGGUGGAAGUUCCACGUGUAGCAGUGAAAUGCGUAGAGAUGUGGAGGAACACCGAUGGCGAAGGCAGCCCCCUGGGCCAAUACUGACGCUCAUGCACGAAAGCGUGGGGAGCAAACAGGAUUAGAUACCCUGGUAG
rnacentral:rRNA from 1 species